rnacentral:rRNA from 1 species
UACGGGGGGGGCAAGCGUUGUUCGGAAUUACUGGGCGUAAAGGGCUCGUAGGCGGCCAACUAAGUCAUACGUGAAAUCCCUCGGCUUAACCGGGGAACUGCGUCUGAUACUGGAUGGCUUGAGUUCGGGAGAGGAUGCGGAAUUCCAGGUGUAGCGGUGAAAUGCGUAGAUAUCUGGAGGAACACCGGUGGCGAAGGCGGCAUCCUGGACCGAUACUGACGCUGAGGAGCGAAAGCCAGGGGAGGCAAACGGG